UCUCUCCAUUCUCUCCCCACCACUUCUCUUAAGGAAAAGCUAAAGCAAGUAUUUGAGAAAAUUAGGAUGCCGAGAACGAAAAAGCUAGAGCCAGUAUUUGAGGGGUUUGGGAUGCCGAGAAUGAAAGGUAGUUUUCCUGUCCUUGAUCUUGAGAAAAAACUAGCUGAAUUGCACAUGGAGCUUCAGAGGCUCAGAAUGGAAGGUACUUUGCCUCCCCCUGAACUCUUUACUGCUGAUCUUGAAGAUGAACUACAACAACUUGAACAACUUCUUAUUGA